UCCCUCUUGCCUGGCUUGACAAGGGGAACCACUGGAGGCUUCCCUCACUGUCACCCCAAAAGGUGCCCUCUGCAGGGAGCUGGCAGGGAGGAGAGGACAACGGGCAAACAACCACAAAUCAGGGCUGUCCUGAUUAAAUCAGGCAUGGAUGGCAAGAAACAUAUUUCACCUACUUGCUUUCCUUUCCCGGGAAGGACGGAAGCCACUUCAGGAUAAUAUUCUCCACUGGCUGCCAGUUUGGACUCUGCUUUGUGACCUGGCUAUGUCUCCUGGUUUUCAGUGAAGAAAGUCAACUUUUUGGGACGAAUUCUGGUGAAUUCUCCUUGAAGGGAUAUGGAAAUAGACAUUCUGGAAGGUACGGUGCUGCGGCUGUGCGUAGCCAAAUGUCUGAUUCUUUCCAGCAGAUGGAGGCAUACUGCAAGAAGCUUCCAAUGAAACAACCAAAAAUAUUUUUUCCCCGGGAAACACUAACAUUUAGGGGGAAAAAUAUCCACAAAAGAGGGAAAUUAAAUGAAUAACUUGCACCAGAAAUGGUAGGAUGACAUAGCCGUACCUAAUGAAGAAUCCGGAGCACAGACAUUCCAUAGACCUUUCUUGCUGUGAGCAUUUUUCUCUCUUGGCUUCCUUUCUGUUUUAGUUGGAAAAUUUUCCAGAAGAAAAGCCUAGUGAGUUAUUUGAUAAAUAAAAUCUGUUAAGACAAACA